AGGCAACCAGAAAAGCAGACCAUUGUCUUCAAAAACAGGCAAACCAUUCAGUAUCAUGGUAAUCCAACUCUAUGACCCAACAAGUAAUGCUGAAGAAGCUGGAGCAGUGAGCAGUGGCUUCACAGCACUGGAGCAGCAAGUGGCCUAGAGGAGAUACCUUACAUCCAAGUGUCAGAAAGUUGCCCUGAACAUGGACGUCCAGAAGUGAUACCUGCACUGUGUGGCUUAAUUUGGAAUUCUCUGCCAAAACGAUGGAUUUCGACUCCUAGUUCACCACAUUCACCCACUGGAACUACGUAAAUCCUGUGCAUAUUCUCCUUAUCUUAUUCAUUCCUGCCAAUAUCUCCUCUUAUUUCAGUGAUGUUAUGCCCCCUAUCUUUUUCUCUAACUGAAUUUAAGACAUUUCCCUAUGGAUUACGAUAACUAUUAUUUACAUAUUUAUUUCUGAAAAUUGCAUUUCCC
ensembl:lncRNA